rnacentral:lncRNA from 1 species
CCCAUCAUCAUCUCUUUGGUUGCCAAGCAGUCAUCCAUCCCGAGUGCUACCGUAGCAAUCUCUCUCUACGUCCAUUGAAAUACUUAUUACACACUGCAGGAGGACUGAAUGCAGCCCUUGGGUAUAAAAGGACAGCUCCAGGGGCGGUUUUCAUUGUUGUAUUAUUCCCUUACACCAUGACUCUGGGAUUUUGCAACUAAACCAUGUUCAUAAACGUGUGUUGAACUGCAGGCCAUUUCUCCGCGGGGGAGAGAAAAUCUUUAAGGGGUCUCCGGAAUUAAACGUGACAGCCAAGUCACCCUCAAGUACGUCGCAUGCAGCACCAACACUAACCCCUGGGCGGCGCACUUGCGGCUCGGCCGCCGGAGAGUGUGAGUGGCUCCCGCCAGGGAUUCACAGCUCACCAGCUAGGCCGUUCACGGGGGCGGGGCCUCACGCCCCUCAGCCCGGUCGGGACCGCCCUUGAGCGGGUCCGGUGGGCGCCACCCUCGAAAGGUGGAAUCUGAGAAGGCCGAAGGCUGAGGAGCCGACGGAGGGGUACCUGAUAAGACCCGCCGGUUAGGGCCAGCUCCGCUAGGACCGCUCGGCCAUUUGCAAUGCAGCUGUAGGUGAUCGUCAUACUGGGCGAGCUAAUGAAGGAAGAGCUCCCGCCACAUCUAACCGCCCGCAACAGUCUCGGGGCGGUGACUGGGGCGGGGCUUCGUGAGAGGACGAUGUCUGCGCAGGCGCGAGGGCCGGUUGAUUGGCAGGCAGGGAGGCGGGGCCAUCUCUUGCCUGGGCUGAAACAGAUGAAACCGGGCGAGGUCUCUGAAAAAACUGGGUUUGGCUAAUGAUGACAAUAUGACCCGAUGCUGGUCAGUGAGCUGCCAGAGACGUCUGCUGGGAUACAGUUGGGAAAGACGUCUUCCUGUUGGAGAGAUUUGUCUGAGGUCAUUUUUCCCCUCUUCUGGGGUUAUGUUCUGUGAGGUGAAGACAUGAUAUUUGGAGUUGUUGUAGCAAUCUUAAUACCAUGAGACAACCAACCAGAGGAUGACAAUCCAGUGUGUUGAGGCUCUCAGAGCAAAAGGAUGGAAGGAGCCUGGGACCUCGAAGACAUCGCCGAGCUGCUGGACCAAUUCUUGAACAGUGUGUCUUCAGACUUACGACUUGAAAGGGUUAUGUGUAUGUCUUUAUUGUUUAAACCACUCUAAGUUGAGCAUUUUGUUAACUGUAGUCAUAAAUAUACAGAUGUACUCUUAAUUUACCUUUUCUUUGUCUCAGGAAGAAUUUAAGGUCCUCCCCCCCCCCCCCCGCCUCCCCGCACCGUCCCGGUACAGUGUGAUUAAAGAAAUUUGAAAUAGGUAAAAAAUGAUGCAACAUAAAAACAUAAAGGGAAGGAAGGAAAGAUGGGAUGAGGUCUGAUGUUAACACACAAAAAGUGUGCCAUGACAUCCAAUAUACUUUCUAGAAGAGUGCUAACGUUUUAUUUUGUGGUCAAAGAAAUACCAUCAGAGCACAAUAUUCAGAAGUUUCUCUUAAAAGUUUGUUGAAUAAGUAAAUGCUAGUACCAGCCCCCAGGGGAGGAGCUCACACCUCUCUUCCCUCUACAGAAUGAGAUGAUUUUAGCCUGGAAAGGAAGAGAACUCAGUGACCAGGCAUUAAGACUGAGGCAUGAGGGGACUUCCCUGGUGGCCUAGUGGCUGAGACUCUGCGCUCCCAAGGCAGGGGCCUGGGGUUUGGUCCCUGAUCUGCCUUCCCAGGUGGCGCUAGUGGUAAAGAACCCACUUGCCAAUGCAGGAGACAUAAGAGACAUGGGUUUGACCCCUGGGUCGGAAAGAUCCCCUGAAGGAGGGCAUGGCAACCCACUCCAGUAUUGCCUAGAGAAUCCCAUGGGCAGAGAAGCCUGGCAGGCUAUAGUCCAUAGGGUCACACAGAGUUGGACAUGACUGAAGAGACUUAGCAUGCAGGCAGGGAACUAGAUCCCACAUGCUGCAAAUAAAAGUUCA